rnacentral:rRNA from 2 species
UGGGGAAUAUUGGGCAAUGGGCGAAAGCCUGACCCAGCAACGCCGCGUGAGGGAAGAAGGUUUUCGGAUUGUAAACCUCUGUUGCAGGGGACGAGCAAAAGACGGUACCCUGUGAGGAAGCCCCGGCUAACUACGUGCCAGCAGCCGCGGUAAUACGUAGGGGGCGAGCGUUGUCCGGAAUUACUGGGCGUAAAGGGAGCGUAGGCGGUUAUUUAAGUUGGAUGUGAAAAGCCCGGGCUUAACCCGGGAGGUGCAUUCAAAACUGGAUGACUUGAGUACAGGAGAGGAAAGCGGAAUUCCUAGUGUAGCGGUGAAAUGCGUAGAUAUUAGGAGGAACACCAGUGGCGAAGGCGGCUUUCUGGACUGACACUGACGCUGAUGCUCGAAAGCGUGGGGAGCAAACAGG